rnacentral:lncRNA from 1 species
AGCCCCUAGCGCAGACGGCGGAGAGCAGAGAGGGAGCGCGCCUUGGCUCGCUGGCCUUGGCUGCGGCUCCUCGGGAGAGCUGGGGCGCCCACGAGAGGAUCCCUCACCUGGGUCUCUCCUCAGGGAUGACAUCAUCCGUCCACCUCCUUGUCUUCAAGGACCACCUCCUCUCCAUGCUGAGCUGCUGCCAAGGGGCCUGCUGCCCAUCUACACCUCACGAGGGCACUAGGAGCACGGAUUCCUGGAUCCCACCAACAUACAAAGCAGCCACUCACUGACCCCCAGGACCAGGAUGGCAAAGGAUGAAGAGGACCGGAACUGACCAGCCAGCUGUCCCUCUUACCUAAAGACUUAAACCAAUGCCCUAGUGAGGGGGCAUUGGGCAUUAAGCCCUGACCUUUGCUAUGCUCAUACUUUGACUCUAUGAGUACUUUCCUAUAAGUCUUUGCUUGUGUUCACCUGCUAGCAAACUGGAGUGUUUCCCUCCCCAAGGGGGUGUCAGUCUUUGUCGACUGACUCUGUCAUCACCCUUAUGAUGUCCUGAAUGGAAGGAUCCCUUUGGGAAAUUCUCAGGAGGGGGACCUGGGCCAAGGGCUUGGCCAGCAUCCUGCUGGCAACUCCAAGGCCCUGGGUGGGCUUCUGGAAUGAGCAUGCUACUGAAUCACCAAAGGCACGCCCCACCUCUCUGAAGAUCUUCCUAUCCUUUUCUGGGGAAUGGGGUCGAUGAGAGCAACCUCCUAGGGUUGUUGUGAGAAUUAAAUGAGAUAAAAGAGGCCUCAGGCAGGAUCUGGCAUAGAGGAGGUGAUCAGCAAAUGUUUGUUGAAAAGGUUUGACAGGUCAGUCCCUUCCCACCCCUCUUGCUUGUCUUACUUGUCUUAUUUAUUCUCCAACAGCACUCCAGGCAGCCCUUGUCCACGGGCUCUCCUUGCAUCAGGGCUAAUCUCGGGCCUUGUUGAAGGAAGAGGCUGCAGACGUUAAUGAGGUUAGCUGCUGGAUUCCAGUAUUCGUCGCAUAAGGAUCCUUCUUUGUCUGCGAAGGAAAAACACACUGAUUAUCAUAAUGAGGCACGUGGGCCGUGGCCCGGCUGGGUCGGCUGAAGAACUGCGGAUGGAAGCUGCGGAAGAGGCCCUGAUGGGGCCCACCAUCCCGGACCCAAGUCUUCUUCCUGGCGGGCCUCUCGUCUCCUUCCUGGUUUGGGCGGAAGCCAUCACCUGGAUGCCUACGUGGGAAGGGACCUCGAAUGUGGGACCCCAGCCCCUCUCCAGCUCGAAAUCCCUCCACAGCCACGGGGACGCCCUGCACCUAUUCCCACGGGACAGGCUGGACCCAGAGACUCUGGACCCGGGGCCUCCCCUUGAGUAGAGACCCGCCCUCUGACUGAUGGACGCCGCUGACCUGGGGUCAGACCCGUGGGCUGGACCCCUGCCCACCCCGCAGGAACCCUGAGGCCUAGGGGAGCUGUUGAGCCUUCGGUGUCUGCAUGUGGGAAGUGGGCUCCUUCACCUACCUCACAGGGCUGUUGUGAGGGGCGCUGUGAUGCGGUUCCAAAGCACAGGGCUUGGCGCACCCCACUGUGCUCUCAAUAAAUGUGUUUCCUGUCUUAACAA